rnacentral:rRNA from 1 species
UACGUAGGGUGCAAGCGUUGUCCGGAAUUAUUGGGCGUAAAGGGCUCGUAGGCGGUUUUGUCGCGUCGGGAGUGAAAAACCUUGGGCUUAACUCAGGGCUUGCUUUCGAUACGGGCAGACUAGAGGUAUGCAGGGGAGAACGGAAUUCCUGGUGUAGCGGUGAAAUGCGCAGAUAUCAGGAGGAACACCGGUGGCGAAGGCGGGUCUCUGGGCCGUAACUGACGCUGAGGAGCGAAAGCGUGGGGAGCGAACAGG